GGAAUGGUAACCCGAAAAAAUGGGAUAGCCAUUUACCAAUGAUGCUUAAUUUGUCUUUAAACUCUGUGCUCAGCCCAUGUAAAAGUAUUAACUUACUUGUAACUUACCUGUAAAUCCAAUACUUAUAGGAGAAAAAAUAAAAUCGGCGCAAAUGAAAAAAUGAAAUCGGCGCAAAUGAAAGAAUGAAAAUUUUCAAAAUCGGCGCAAAUGUCAUACGCCCC
rnacentral:lncRNA from 1 species